UAGGGAAUCUUCCGCAAUGGGCGAAAGCUUGCCGGAGCAACGCCGCGUGAGUGAUGAAGGUCUUCGGAUCGUAAAACUCUGUUAUUAGGGAAGAACAAAUGUGUAAGUAACUAUGCACGUCUUGACGGUACCUAAUCAGAAAGCCACGGCUAACUACGUGCCAGCAGCCGCGGUAAUACGUAGGUGGCAAGCGUUAUCCGGAAUUAUUGGGCGUAAAGCGCGCGUAGGCGGUUUUUUAAGUCUGAUGUGAAAGCCCACGGCUCAACCGUGGGGGGUCAUUGGAAACUGGAAAACUUGAGUGCAGAAGAGGAAAGUGGAAUUCCAUGUGUAGCGGUGAAAUGCGCAGAGAUAUGGAGGAACACCAGUGGGGAAGGCGACGUUCUGGUCUGUAACUGACGCUGGUGUGCGAAAGCGGGGGGAUCAAACAGG
rnacentral:rRNA from 1 species